UACGUAGGGUGCAAGCGUUGUCCGGAAUUAUUGGGCAUAAAGAGCUCGUAGGCGGUCUGUCGCGUCUGCUGUGAAAACUCGGGGCUUAACCCCGGGCCUGCAGUGGGUACGGGCAGACUAGAGUGCGGUAGGGGAGACUGGAAUUCCUGGUGUAGCGGUGAAAUGCGCAGAUAUCAGGAGGAACACCGGUGGCGAAGGCGGGUCUCUGGGCCGUAACUGACGCUGAGGAGCGAAAGCAUGGGUAGCGAACAGG
rnacentral:rRNA from 1 species